CGAUAACCGAACCAUUUAAAGUUCGGGUUGGUCGGGUUCGGGUUUCUCGGGUUCGGGUUUUUCGGGUAUUCGCUAAUUCGGGUUCGGGUGGCUUUGAAUUCGGGUCGGGUUUCGGGUUUUGGAUUAAAAUGAACAGCCCUAUGUGUAAGGUGUGUGUCGCGAGAAAGGAGAAACCCUUCUACUUACACAAGAUUUCAGCAAUUGAACAUGGUUUAGAACGAAAAUCGAAUGCAUGAGCCUAGUCACUCUUUAAUCUAAGUGCAUUGAACAUAAGGAUUGAAAGAAGAAAGAGCAAGUUCUGGAUUACAACAAAAGUCUCAAGAACGAGGUAAAGCUCCUACAUAAAUGGUCACGCCUUGCUCGGAACGAACACUAUCCGCAACGCCUACAAUACGCUUCCGUAUUCGCGUAUGCAAAUGGGUCAAAAUUUUUGGUUAUGAUGUAGUUUAUGUCUUUGUUUUAGAAGUCUUUUCUAGUGACUUAUGUUUAAAAUUAUGUUUUGUAAAUGUUGGGUAUUCGCAAAUAGUUUAUAUGGUCAACACUAGAAGUGUGGCCAAAGAUUUCUUAA